rnacentral:rRNA from 1 species
GGCGAACGGGUGAGUAACACGUUGGUGACCUACCCCAGAGAGGGGGAUAACAGCUCGAAAGGGCUGCUAAUACCCCAUGCCGUCAUGGCGCUUAGAAAGCCAUGACGAAAGGUGCAAAUCGCUCUGGGAGGGGCCUGCGUCCCAUCAGCUAGUUGGUAGGGUAAUGGCCUACCAAGGCGACGACGGGUAGGGGACCUGAGAGGGUGACCCCCCACACUGGCACUGAAACACGGGCCAGACACCUACGGGUGGCAGCAGUAGGGAAUAUUGCACAAUGGGCGAAAGCCUGAUGCAGCAACGCCGCGUGCGCGAUGAAGGCCUUCGGGUCGUAAAGCGCUUUUCGGGGAGAUGAGGAAGGACAGUAUCCCCGGAAUAAGGAUCGGCUAACUACGUGCCAGCAGCCGCGGUAAAACGUAGGAUCCGAGCGUUAUCCGAAUUCACUGGGCGUAAAGCGCGUGCAGGCGGUCCGGUAAGUUGGAUGUGAAAUCUCCUGGCUCAACUGGGAGAGGACGUUCAAUACUGUCGGACUCGAGGACGGUAGAGGGAGGUAGAAUUCCCGGUGUAGUGGUGAAAUGCGUAGAUAUCGGGAGGAAUACCAGUGGCGAAGGCGGCCUCCUGGACCGUUCCUGACGCUCAGACGCGAAAGCUAGGGGAGCAAACGGGAUUAGAAACCCCGGUAGUCCUA